AAGGAACCCCUUUGAAAAUGACUACGCUAGUUUUUCCCUCACCAAAUUUUAGCCUAACUUUGAAGCAUUAUUUAGCCACUUUAUUGACAUUUCAGCAU